AGUAAAUGAGUGAUGUCAGUACACAUGCACCGUACACAGCAAUUUUUGAUUGCCUUGUGAUGCCAUGCUGGAACCAAACACGAGACUCAAGAGGCCGGAAGGAAUCAAUUGCUCUCUGCAGUCUGAAAGAUAUCUCAUCAUCCAGGGAGCAAGAACGGCUGAAUGUGCUGCCCAAGUAGAAAAAAUUGUCUACCACUUUUAGUAUUGUUCCUUAAACCAAGAUAGCUGGUUCCACAUAAGGAUUUCCUGGUGCAGGCUGGAACAUUACAACAGUCUUGUCCAGGAUAAUGCUGAGUCAUAAU